rnacentral:rRNA from 1 species
UACGUAGGGUGCGAGCGUUGUCCGGAAUUAUUGGGCGUAAAGGGCUCGUAGGCGGUUUGUCGCGUCGGGAGUGAAAACACACAGCUUAACUGUGUGCUUGCUUCCGAUACGGGCAGACUAGAGGUAUGCAGGGGAGAACGGAAUUCCUGGUGUAGCGGUGAAAUGCGCAGAUAUCUGGAGGAACACCGGUGGCGAAGGCGGCGUUCUGGACUGUUUCUGACACUGAAUAACGAAAGCCAGGGGAGCAAACGGG